GCUUUUAUUAAUUGGUUAUGUUCACUACAUCUAGGUUAACUGGAACAAGGUCUUUGAAGUAGGGGCAUUUUUUAUUUAAUUUUUUUUUUUUAAAGUUUUUGUUCUUGGUUUUGUUGAUCCGAAUUGAUAUACAAGCUUUGAUGAAACAUGGUGAUACAUGUUAGUAUGAAUUUUGUCGAGGAGGUUAUUAUGUUUUGAAUUCAUAUCAUUAUGAAUUUUAAUCAUCGAGUAUCGAUGCUUGUAUGUAGAGAGGUGUGCAUAGAUUUUGA
rnacentral:misc_RNA from 1 species